GUGCUCGCUUUGGCAGCACAUAUACAAAAAUUGGAAUGAUACAGAGAAGAUUAGCAUGGCCCCUGCACAAGGAUGACAUGCAAAUUCAUGAAGCAUUCCAUAUUUUA
ensembl:snRNA U6 U6 spliceosomal RNA